UGCGUAGGCGGUCUUUUAAGUCAGGAGUGAAAGGCUACGGCUCAACCGUAGUAAGCUCUUGAAACUGGAGGACUUGAGUGCAGGAGAGGAGAGUGGAAUUCCUAGUGUAGCGGUGAAAUGCGUAGAUACUAGGAGGAACACCAGUAGCGAAGGCGGCUCUCUGGACUGUAACUGACGCUGAGGCACGAAAGCGUGGGGAGCAAACA
rnacentral:rRNA from 1 species